GGGUUUACUAUUCACCCCAAGCACUAAACCUUCCCCUUUACAGUCUUUUCACUUAGGUUAAUUCAAUUUACAUUGCCAAAAAUUCCCUCCACUGCCAAAUUUUCAUUCCCCGCCUAACGCAAACCUUCCCCUUCUUGCUUCCUUCUUCCCGUUGCACCGCCGUUCUUCUUGCUCCUUUCAUUUCGACAUCUCCGGUUGCUGCUUGCUCCGUUCUUGGCUCUCCAUUCUUCGCUCCUUGCUCUGGUCUUGGCUCCGUUCUUGGCUCCGUUCAAUUGCUCCGUCCUUGGCUCCGUUCAAUUGCUCCGUCCUUGGCUUCGUUCUUGGCUCUGCUCUUCGCUCCGUUCUCCUUUCUUGCCUCCGUUCUUGCACUGCCGUUUUCGUGCACCUUCGUCGCUCUUGCACCGCCGUCGCUCCUGCACCGCCGUUCUUCUUGCACCGCCACCGUCGUCGCUUAUGCUCUGUUCUUCGAGCGAUACGAUUCAACUUGGAGCUAGUGAGGAGUGUAGCGAUCGAAAUUAAUAGCUUGCUUUGAUAUUGGAAUCCAUGAACAAACCAAGGGAGCGUUCCUUCACGACUGAUGAAAUAAAAUGUGUUCGAGACAAGCUGGCACGAUUUAUUACUAAUGAAUGUCUUUGAUUGUUCUCUUUUUUAGAAUGAUUAUGAAUCUAAUACUGUAGUUUUCUACCUUUUUCCAUUAACAAUUUAGAUACAAUAUGUUUUAACUCGUUGUUUUAUGUUUAUUUUGCUUUUUUUUUUCACUUGUGUUAUUGAAUGGUGUAUGGAUGAGCCAAGGGCAUGUUUAUUGGUGUAUAGUAUAUACGUUGUGGUUGGAAUGA